AUGCGUUGGUAAAAUGUGAAACCAACUCCGGUUAUCAACGAUGUUCGAUGUUUACAUCCUAAUAUUACGAGGAGUUGAACACUACUGGAUAAAGUUAAAUUCCAAACUGAAAAGUACCUCGAUUAUCUAUUUGAUGAUAAAAUAAAAAUAAUAAGGACCUCAUUUCAGCCGCCGACAUCAAAUACGAUCUCGCCUACAUAUGUUUUUUAAAUGCCUUAGCGUCCAUUUACAGAAAGCUAGGUGUACUACUCUUUAAUACCUCGUUCCUAGGAUACCGAGACCAUAUCGAAUGUUUCGCAUCGAUCUGAAAUGUCUUAAAAUUCAUCUUUCACAUACUGUGGAAAUGGAAACUCCGGUCACAGCUUAAAUUUGCCACCCUGUGACAUCGAGGUGUUCAAUAGCGACCUUUCCUGUCCUAAGUUCAGGGACUUAUUGAGCGGUAAUGGCAUUGAAAUAACAAAAUCUGUGGUGAUGACCAUGACAUUGUUUCGAAGUUUACGCUUACACACAAAAACUUGCCUAUACGGCCGUUGGUACUUCAUUUUCAAAGUGGCAUUUCGUAAUGUUCGUCUGGCAUGCUUUAAAUUCCAAAUCUCAAUGCAGAUGCUACGCAUCUACAAUUACUUCUAUUGUUAUUUCUAUAGUUCUCACAGUGAUAACCUAAUGUGAGCUUCUCACUUUUUAAUAUUGAAAACGGCACUUUCAUCCGACAGCUAUUUGACUUCCUUUGCAACGGAGUUAAUUAUAGUCGAUGUUUAGUGUAGUCUACCUCUCCUCUCUACUUUUUUGAUAAAAAUUUGGAAAAUACUUAGUUUCAUGGCCGCGUUAGAGUCGCGAACAUAUAUAGUUCAAAACGAGCUACGGUUUUGUGGUCAUUCUGACUUUUUCAUACGAGUUGAAAAUUUUUAAAUGAUGAUUGCGACAAUGGAUACGGAACAAUGAUUGGAUGGCUUCGCUGAUCCUCAAAUGAAGUUUGUGGUAUUCAAAACGGAUGAAGUAGAACCUCUUUCGGAGAAAAUUCAACAAAAAUCCGCCUUAGAAGGUCCAUGGAGUUCAUACAAGAGAUAUCAGUGUACUCGACGAGUUUAGCAAUCAGAAGAUCAAGACCUCAUCGAGGCAUUGCACGAUCUUGCUCUACGAGCAGAUACUUUCUGUUCUUUGAUACGAUCGGUUCCUUUUCGAUACAUUGCACGAUCGUGCUCUAUGAACUCGCAUAAAAAAAUUUAGAAAAAAAAUUGUUGUUCCAUUAGUUUUAUAAUACGAUCAGUUCCUUCUCGAGGCAUAGCACGGUGGUGCUAUAAAUAACUAAAUAACUAACUUUAACGUAAAAUUUGCAACACGGCGUAAUAUUGCAAAGACUAGCGGAAUGUUUAACUUCAAUCUUAAUAUUCAUUAAAUUGAGAUAAUAAUAGAUUAUUAAACUUAAAAACUUUAACGGCAUUCUCCAUUCGAUGUCAACGUUUUAAAUGAGUUACUUUUAUUUUAAAAUGGUGAACGAUAUUAAAAGGUAUUUUAGGUUUGGGUGACACCGAUUUUUUUUCGAUAAAAAGCAGUGAUAUAAUUUCUUCGCCUAUAUUUUCAUUAGUCUAUGUUUCUUGAUUAUUAUUUCGACCUUCGCGUAGGCUAAUGAAUAUAUAGACGAAUCUGUAGGUUUCGCCUAUGUCGUUUCAUGGGUUUGGGUGAAAAUAUAAAAGUGACUUAAUCUUAAAUGUUAAAAAUAUCAUAAACUGUGGAAUUUUUGUCGGUGGAAAAUUGUUCCGUAAUAAAAAAAAUGUGAAAAGUGAGUGAUGACAUCGAACAAUUCGGGUAAUCAAGUGAAAUUCUUGAAAAACGAUGAAAUAUGUUUUUGAAGUCGAGUGGGUUGAACGCCUAAAUCAGCAUGUUGACUAUGCAAAACAUGAUGAGAGUCACCUGGAUAAAAGGACAAAACUAACGUUUCGCUGUCUAUAUUUUCAUUUGACUAUGUACGACAUCUCUAUGAGCGAGAAUACUGAAGCAAAGACAAAUGAAAAUAUUAUAUAUUUAUUUUCAUUUGUCUAUGCCGUAGCUGCCCUAGAAGCAAAAUUUAUUUCAACACUUACUCAAGUAUAGUACCAUUUAGUACUUUUUGUACACUUUAUAGUACGUUUUUCCAGAUUCGCCCCGUAACUAAACGUUUCGCGUCACUAUGAUUCUAAUAUCAUUAUUUUUCGCAAUUUUGUUCUUUUCCUUUCUAUCUUUUUAUUUUAGAGAUUUCCAGAACGUCCUCUUCAACAUUCCAAUCUUUUGAGUAUUAUUAUUUUUGUACAUAUUUUAUAUAAAUACAAGAAUUAGUUUGUUUUAGAGAUUCUAAAUGGGAACAAACAUAUUCAUUAUUUUAACAUUAAUUUAACUUUAAAUAAGAAAUUAUUAUAUAAAGAAGUAACAAAUAUUCGUUUAUUCAAGAAGUAUUCCAACAUUUUGUAAAAGAAACUGUUUUACACGUUUUUAAAUAUCGAAAAAGACAUUACACAUUUUAAAUUAUUUGGUAAUUGAUUAAAUUCUUUUUAUCUAGUAUGUCUAAGUCGCUAUUUUGAUAAAUCCAUACGACAUCUAGCAAUCUCUAUAUCUGAUGUAUUCCUAGUGUCCCUGCCAGUCAUUAUUCCGUUUUGUUAUUCUUGCAUUCCGUUUUCUUGUUGCUGUUUAACCACCUGUUCAUACACAAGUACUUCGUUGAUCCCACCUAUUCACUGGCUUGAACCUGAUAACUUUGCUUCUAUUGAUGCUGUAUGGUUCCUGGAUUGACUAAUUUGUUUGCAUCGCGAACUCAAUUGUUUUAUUUCUAUUUCAUACGCCGGCGAACGGUACAAGGUGGCCAUACUUGUGCGAAUCUUAUGUGUUUUAGUAAAUAAAGUUACUUUUUACUUUAAUAUUUGUUAUGGUCACUCUACUAUCUGUUACUCGUAUAAAAAAACAUAAUAAAUUUAUUUAUUUGUGUACUUGCGCCUGAGUGAAGAUGGAUAUCAGUGAUUUCCUCAUCAAUUGGCUUUCUGUUUGAAAAUCUUUGCAAUCGUGGUUAAGCAAAUCUUGUAGCUUUAAAGAAGCGCUCUUCAUCUCUUAAUUUUAGCUCCGUAAAAGCCAUUCUCUGGAAUCCUUCGGUGUUUCUUUUAAUGUUCACUGGCCGUACCCACCAUCUUCUCCGUAAACGUUUUCGCACAAGCAGAUAAGCUUUUACUAUAAUAUAUAUAAUGUUAAUUAUUUCAACAAAUUUAAAAAACUUUACAAUUCUCUGAUUCAUUGUAGUCAACAAAUGAGCAAAAAGUAAACAACUUCAUCAGCUGUUUUAUAAUUUCGUCGGUAUUGUGUUUCAUACGCCGAAUUUACGCGGCUCAUUUUGCCGCGUAGGGCGACAUUCAUCGUUCGCUCCAAUUGUGCAUUACGCUGUUUCCAACGCAAUUAAAUGUUACCUGUUUUCAAAUUAUAUAUUGUUCCAUUACAUUUAAACAAAAAUUCUAAAAUAAAAUCUGAAGAAAUAAUGAUACGACGCUGGUUCUGUCACGAAAAUUGCCACACUAAAUUUAAUGACAAUCUGGGGCUUGUUGCUGCUGCAAUUUCAAACAACAAUUACAUUCAGUGGUUCGGAUUGCUGAAAAAUAGGAUACGAAAAAAUCUGCGGGCACUUAUUGAAUAUACGGGGGAGAAUUCUGAGUUCGCCGCAGGAGUGCCAAUUUUUGGAAGCAGCUGGCAAUCCUUUAAAGACCACUGGACAAAAAUUAUUUUUUAAAUAAAAUACCAAUGGCAUAGACAAAUUAAGAUAUAGACAACGAAAAUAGUGACACAUACCAGGCGGUUCAGUGAAGAAAGUUUUCACUAUUUAUCGCCACAAACACAUGCUCAACAACAAUAAAUAAACCUACAUAACAUCUCAACAACACCAACAACCAGCCAAAAGAACUCACCACAUCUCUACACACAAACUGCAAAACAACAGACACUGUCAGCACAAACACAACAAACACAGACCUUACAACGACACCAAUGUAAGCAACCAACGUACCAACCAACCAACGUCAACACAUGGUACAUCAAACCGUGCAAAACUCACCUCCAUUCAAAUGCACAUCACAACAGGAUUUUCCAUCCACAUCAUCAGCAAGGUCAAGGAACAAGCAGAUGCAAGCAAAAGGAUGGCUGCCGCUUCAGAGAGGAUGGCAGAUUUACCGAGGCCCAAAAAAAAAUUCUAAAAUCAAUAUAAUAAAUACUAUGAAUUUUUGUGCAAAAUAAUUCACAACAAUUU